rnacentral:rRNA from 1 species
UACAUGGGGUGCAAACGUUGCUCGGAAUUAUUGGGCGUAAAGCGCACGUAGGUGGUCUGUUAUGUCAGAUGUGAAAGCCCUCGGCUUAACUGAGGAAGUGCACCUGAAACUGGCAGGCUUGAGUACGAAGGGGGGUCGCGGAAUUCCCGGUGUAGAGGUGAAAUGCGUAGAUAUCGGGAGGAACACCAGUGGCGAAGGCGGUUGCCUGGAGCUUUGCUGACGCUGAUGCGCGAAAGCGUGGGGAGCGAUCCGG